rfam:Rattus norvegicus chromosome 3, whole genome shotgun sequence.
GGGGAUUUAGCUCAGUGGUAGAGCACUUGCCUAGCAAGCACAAGACCCUGGGUUCGGUCCCCAGCUCCG